UGUGUGUGUGUGUGUGUGUGUGUAAGGGGUGGUGACAGGAAUGACUGUACUCUCCCUAGGGCUUGAGGAGAGGUGAGAGAGAUGGUGGCCCAGCCUGUGGGGUGGGCAGAAAAGAUAAAAUCCUAAGGUACUAGCAUAUGCCAUGGAGUUCAUCCCAGCAGCCUGGUUCCCUUGGCUUCCCUACUAAUGGAAGCUGAAGGGAGGGGCAGUGUCUGCAGCUGCUCUGGGCUGACUGUUGUUUGUGGGGACAGCUGAAAGAGGAGCCAGUAGGGGUGGGGCUGUGGCUGUCUUGAGCCAUGUGGGUUUUUCCAGGAAAUUAUCCACUAUUCUCCAGGGACAUAAACAGGCCACCAUGAAAAAUGUCCAAGCCUAAAAAAAUUCAGAAGUAAGCCCUGAUAUUGGGUAUAAUUGCCGUAAGCCCCUUGAGGACACCAUGGUAAAAGUCUUUGAUUGAAAAGACCUGGUAGGUGUUUGUGUAUCAGUCUGAGAGGUCCCUGAGAGGAACUGUGCAUCUCCCUGUAAGUAUUUUCCCAAGCAUCCCCAAAUCUUCAUCUGAAGAAUGGCUAAGUUUUUUGGUUCAAGUUCUGUUCAUUCUUACAUCAUUCCAGAAAGCAUUCUUCUCUUACACCCAUGUCCAAGACAAGGUUCAAGAAUUCAGCGUGAAUUAAUAACAUCAGCAGAUACUUCCCAAAAUUCAAUUGAGUCAUUAAUUUCAUCUGCUGUCAUCCCUUUCUCCAGCCUUGCACCAAAGCUCCUAGGAUUAAUAAAAUGGAGCAGCUCUAGAGGAAUAGGUGAUCAGGGCAAUGACCAAUGAUGUGGCAGUUAGCAGGAGGAGCAGAAAAAGAAGGGGAAGUGACUGCCUAAUAUAAUGGAUAAUUGAGAAUCAUCUGCAUAAGAUACGAAUUCAGUCAUUUGAUGCAGAAUGGGAAACUGCAUCCUGCAAACUUUAAUCUCAGAGCCAAAUCUCAAACUAUGGCUAGCUCUUUCAGCAGUGAAUCCAGGAAACCCUGCUUCCACUUUGCAUUUAAUGGUGCUCAUCAGCCUUUGGGUCAAGGUUUCUGCUCUGUUCUGAACAUCUGCUGACUGAGCCAAAGGAGGAACCAGAA